UACGUAGGGGGCGAGCGUUGUCCGGAAUCAUUGGGCGUAAAGCGCGUGUAGGCGGCCCGGUAAGUCCGCUGUGAAAGUCCAGGGCUCAACCCUGGGAUGCCGGUGGAUACUGUCGGGCUCGAGUCCGGAAGAGGAGAGUGGAAUUCCCGGUGUAGCGGUGAAAUGCGCAGAUAUCGGGAAGAACACCCGUGGCGAAGGCGGCUCUCUGGGACGGUACUGACGCUGAGACGCGAAAGCGUGGGGAGCGAACAGG
rnacentral:rRNA from 1 species